rnacentral:rRNA from 1 species
AUUGAACGCUGGCGGCAGGCCUAACACAUGCAAGUCGAGCGGAUGAAGGGAGCUUGCUCCUGGAUUCAGCGGCGGACGGGUGAGUAAUGCCUAGGAAUCUGCCUGGUAGUGGGGGAUAACGUCCGGAAACGGGCGCUAAUACCGCAUACGUCCUGAGGGAGAAAGUGGGGGAUCUUCGGACCUCACGCUAUCAGAUGAGCCUAGGUCGGAUUAGCUAGUUGGUGGGGUAAAGGCCUACCAAGGCGACGAUCCGUAACUGGUCUGAGAGGAUGAUCAGUCACACUGGAACUGAGACACGGUCCAGACUCCUACGGGAGGCAGCAGUGGGGAAUAUUGGACAGUGGGCGAAAGCCUGAUCCAGCCAUGCCGCGUGUGUGAAGAAGGUCUUCGGAUUGUAAAGCAUUUUAAGUUGGGAGGAAGGGCAGUAAGUUAAUACCUUGCUGUUUUGACGUUACCAACAGAAUAAGCACCGGCUAACUUCGUG